rnacentral:lncRNA from 1 species
GGUUCCAAUAAACACAUGAUACACUUUUAAAAGGCAUAGAAGUUUCUUCAAAAUUUAGGCAAUUACUCAAAUUUGAGGAGUUAUCCUACAGUAUGUCAAAAUGAAACUGCUAAUUAUUAAGUUCCAUAUGUAUUUUGUCUCACUUAUUGUCAAUAGAAGGCACUGAAAAGUAGUUCACAAAUAACUGAUGGACAGGUUUAGUUUAUUUUCAAGAGGGCAUCAUGUUGCCAAGAAAGUUGCUGCUCACCCUAUUUUGACAACCAGAAAAAUGCAAUUCUAUUUGAGAAAGUAAAUUUAGGAUUUUUUUAGGGUGCAUCUAUUCAGCGAACAUGUGUGUAACAACAGGUUAACUAGAUGAUACCCCACACGUUGUUGCGGAAAUAUUUUGCAAUACAUUUCAAAGAUAUUUGAUUGUAUGUGACAUGAAUAUUUGAAAUAAUAAUGUGAAAACUAAAACUGAAAAUAUGUUUGGUUUAUUGUGUUUCACAAUUGUAUAGUUGUAAAGAAUUCAGUAAAUAUAAAUAGCAUAAUAGAAUGAAAAAUGGCAUUCAUAACUGCAUAUUGAGGUGGGCCUUUUUCUAUGCAUGAUUGCAUGUAGAAGUGAGCAUUUGUUUCAUGAUGAGGUGGCAUGCUUGCAUGUUGAGAGAAAUAGGUUAGUGGGGGCUAGCUAUUUAGAUAUAGAAGAUUUGAAAGGUAGAAGCAAUGUUUGGUCUGUGAUAGAUAGAUGAGUGUGUUUAACUUUUGAUUUUUUUACAAACAGAUUGUAGAAUGCCUCCUAGCAUUGGUUCUUUGACCUUGGAUCAAUUUACUCUGCGCUUACAUGAUAUAUUGCUUCUAGCCGAUGAAAUUUAGUCCACAUUUGUGUGCGUAUGCAUAUCCUAUACUGGAAUUGUGCUUGCCCAUUAUAUAUUAGAAGUAGACAAGAAAAUGUCCAUAGUAAUAAACUUGCGGUCACAGGACUGCUAGCUUAAAGUUUGUUAGAUUAUAUAAAUGGGUAAUUUUGUUGUCUGCUCUUUAGGUUUCCAUAGUAUGAGCUGGUGCUAUUGCUUUUAAACUGCCAUGUAAACUGAACAAUGGGGCUUCAUGUAUAAACUGGAGCAAUAAUAUCCUAUUACUUCUCAUGUAAUGGAUCAAUUGUGUGUCUUGGUCUUUCCUGUUUUCUUUGGUUUUGCAGCCUAGAAUUUUUUCAUGCGCAUAUAUAGCUACUUAAUCAACUGAGUUCCUUUAUGAUGUGUGGCAGACAACAUUUACUGAUAUGACUUACUUUCUCAUUCUAGAUAAUGGCAGGUGUAGCAAUGAAAGGCAUAUAUAUUUUAUUACGAGCAUCCUAGCUUUCUCAUCUUAUUAGCGACUCACUUUCGAAACAUAUGUAUUGGUAGUUUUUAUCUCUAUGCUUUUGCCUUCUACAUAAUGGAUUGCAAUGUUUUUGUCUUGAUCCAAUCCUUCCUGCGCCCAUGGGGUGUCCUGCAGGGACUGCUUUGGCUGUUCCAGAGGCCGUACACACAUAUAAAUACACAACUACUCCCUCGACCGAAGCCCAGCCCAAUUGUGUUGUUUCGUCGUGCUCGACAUUGGUGUCUUGCCAUUCUGCCGAAGCCAUGGAAAUCUCGCUGUUCUGCCAGCCUGGUAGGAAUUUCUCCAUAUUGCCGACUUCACCGGAAUUACAUCCGCCAGUGUAGCCAAGGCACAUCGUUCAAACUGCUCGAGCAAUACUGAUUUGGAGAUGUUUUGGUCAAGCGGUUGAACUGAACCAUGCUACU